AACGAACGCUGGCGGCAUGCCUAACACAUGCAAGUCGAACGAGACCUUCGGGUCUAGUGGCGCACGGGUGCGUAACGCGUGGGAACCUGCCCUUAGGUUCGGAAUAACUCCCCGAAAGGGGUGCUAAUACCGGAUAAUGUCUUCGGACCAAAGAUUUAUCGCCUUUGGAUGGGCCCGCGUUGGAUUAGCUAGUUGGUAGGGUAAAAGCCUACCAAGGCGACGAUCCAUAGCUGGUCUGAGAGGAUGAUCAGCCACACUGGGACUAAGACACGGCCCAGACUCCUACGGGAGGCAGCAGUGGGGAAUAUUGGACAAUGGGCGAAAGCCUGAUCCAGCAAUGCCGGGUGAGUGAUGAAGGCCUUAGGGUUGUAAAGCUCUUUUACCCGGGAUGAUAAUGACAGUACCGGGAGAAUAAGCUCCGGCUAACUCCGUG
rnacentral:rRNA from 1 species